GGAGGCAGCAGACUUCCCUGUGUAGAGGGUCAGGUCUACAUAUUGGGCCUUCCACUCCCUUCAGCACCGAGUCACCAAUAACAAUGACCCAUCUCUUGUUCUUUGCUGAGGAGGUUUUAAUGUGAGGGGUAGCCCUGCUGGGCUUUGGAGACACCUCCGAGUGGGGAGAACCACCAUCACCACUGUCCAGCUGUUCCCGCAGAGCACUGUACCUGUUCUGCAGGGGGAGCUGAGGAGGGAGGGGAAUCACCGGGCGGGUGCGCCUGCACCGCAGGGCCGCAGCUGGCUGCCUCGAUCUCAAGGACGGCAGGGACUGGCACCACCGAUCAAUCUCCUGCUCACAUUCCCUUAUACUCCUCAACCUCUCCACUUCUUCCUUCAGAUCAGCCACCAGGCUAAGUAAAUCAUUUAGCUGGUCGCAUCUGACACACACGCUUUCUCCAUCACUCUGCAGUGCAAGGGCCAAGCUCAAGCACUCACCGCAGCCAAAAACCUGAGUACUAACAUGUUGCUGCGGGACCUCCAUCUGGGUCUCCUCAUUUUUCUUGGCAGCAGCCAUCCUUUUAUCUGUGCAUGGGACCUCAGUCUGGGUCCCCGCAUUUUUCCUAGAAAUAGCCUUCCGCUGCGGGGCAGCCAUGGCAAACCAGCCGACCCUAGCACAGUGUAGGGCAACCUUAACGAGGUGCAACUGGUCCGGUCCUCCCGGUUGCCUGUAGUGCCGGCUCCGCCCUGACGGCGUUACCAGUCUGAUAACAGGUGCCCCUGCACUAACCACUCCCAAUACAGUGAUAUAACAGGCCUCUUCACACCCAAUACAGCGGUAUAACAGGCCUCUUCACACCCAAUACAGCGGUAUAACAGGCCUCCACACUGUGUAGUCACGUGCACGAGUGGCUUACUGUUUCGGCGCGUUUGAACGGCCUCUGUAGUACGUGCACUCCAACACCCCCGCAGCGACCGCUGCCCUCCCUGAGGUCUUUUAUAAGGCAAGGGGCGUGGACGCCGUUGCCCUGGCAACGCCCACGUCACGUCAGCCGCUCUCGCGAGAGCUGCCGGGCCGCUCCGUUAGCUCGGGGGUCCCCGCGUAAAGGAAUCGAUCCAAAAACCCCCCUGUACCUCGCUUCAGUCGCUGCGGUUCUGGCUGGGGACAGUGCCGAACAGCUAACCUCGGCGAUCAAGAAGAAAAACUUCUUAGAGCUCAGCGGAGUGGAGAGUGAUGUCAUGGUUGACCCAGCACCAGCAUGCCCAUAAAUGAUACAGUAUGUUCCCC
rnacentral:lncRNA from 1 species